GACGGAGGAUGCAAGCGUUAUCCGGAAUGAUUGGGCGUAAAGCGUCCGCAGGUGGCAGUUCAAGUCUGCUGUCAAAGACCGGGGCUUAACUUCGGAAAGGCAGUGGAAACUGAACAGCUAGAGUAUGGUAGGGGCAGAGGGAAUUCCUGGUGUGGCGGUGAAAUGCGUAGAGAUCAGGAAGAACAUCGGUGGCGAAGGCGCUCUGCUGGACCAUAACUGACACUCAGGGACGAAAGCUAGGGGAGCGAAUGGG
rnacentral:rRNA from 1 species